CUCAACAAGCUACUGGAUGAUGGAGACAUCACGCCAGAGCAGAUGGAGCAAUUCCAUGAAGCUGCCUUGGCGUUUCUGACCUAUGCUGUGGACUAUGCUCUAAAAAAGCUGCCCCUACAAGAGCCACUGCUCAAGCACGCCAAGUUUGUUGAUUUUCGGCAGAGGUUGGAAUGUGGCGUAGAAGAUGCCCUUUACUUUGUUGAGAGGUUUCCCAACCUGCUCCCCUACCAUGGGCCUCAGGAGUAUAACCUACUCAGUGACUAGUUCCUGGAAUACCAGACUAUGCCAAUACCACCCCUGCAGGUCCCAGAGGAAAUUGAGAUGGAGAGCUUCUGGGCUGAAAUGGCUACCCGAAAACACAAGGUGACUGGUUUAAGCCUGUUCCCAAGGCUUGCCACCAUUGCCAAGAUUGUCCUGGUGCUCCCCCAUUCAAAUGCUGAUGCG